UGUCACAAAGCACGUGAGAAGGUUUGUCAGUGGAAAAUCGAUACGUUUCGGUGUCAAAUAAACCCCGUCUUACCCCUUAUCUAAACUUUCCGCCAUAACUAUUUAGGUUGAGUCCAUAUUUUGCAAAACAUCAUCCAGGUUAUUACUUUCAAUCAUGAUCUAAUCCAUGGAACCCAUUAUUAAAUGAAAAUAUUCUAAACAAUUGUCUAAAUAUGAAUUCCAGUCGAACAAAUAUCUCACAACAACAUAAAAUUAAGUAAUAAACGAACCUCUUGGUCGUACAAUUCGACGUGGUUUGAUGUCAUCUGUGGUCUCUGUAAUGACAAUAGUGACUUCACAAACUUCUACGGGGUCCAAAGAAUUUCCUUCUGACUGAAGAACAUUUUUGGACGCAUUCGAAAGUUUUGAAUCACUAAUUGCAUAUGAUUGCAUAACGUUCGACAUUGUUUAAGAAAAUUAAAAAACUUCGCGUUAAAAACGAUGUGCUGAAAUACUGUUGGACUUACUGGAAAAUUAUACUUGGGGGUUCAUAGAGGGGAGAACAGGACACUGUCCUUUUUGCGCAAGCGUCAACUUGGAUCAUAUUCUAUCGAAACAACCAUAUAAAUAUAUCUUUUUAUUUUUAUGUUAAAUGAUAUUGAAGAGAUAUAAUUUAUUAUAAUGAUUUCUCAACAGUCAUUUUAAUUGGCAAUAAAUUCAAGAUCACUUUCCUUUCUGUUAUAGGAAAAGUUAUAUUGGGAUCGCAAUGAUAUUUAAUAUACAUCAGGAUAGUUCAUUGACGUCACAUUUAUGUCAACGUGUGACUGAUUGUGUUCCUGGAAUGGGUGUGAGUAAAGUGGAUAUAGUUUCUAGUUAAUUGCAGAAAUGGAAAAUUAUUCAGAAAAACAUGAAAUAAGGGUGGAGGCGUGGUUAUUUGAUGAUAUAUUUUAUUGAGGUUCCCUAACAGAAACUAUUUCUAGAACUACCUUCUCAGGUUUUGCUGUUCGAUUUGACACCAUCAAGUUAUUUAUAAAGGUACAUGUACAUAGCUUAGUGAGUUCGGCGACCCACAGCAUAAUUCAAAUAUCGGAUGGGAUAUUUUUGAAACAAUGAAUAUUCGCAUGUUGUUGGACAUUUUGAAACUUACCUGAAACAAAAAAAAAACCACAUAUAUAUAAUAACAGUUUCUUACGAAUUGCAAAAAAAAAAAUUAUCAAUUCAAUAUAUUUU